rnacentral:rRNA from 1 species
GAUGAACGCUGGCGGCGUGCUUAACACAUGCAAGUCGAACGGAAAGGCCCUGCUUGCCGGGUACUCGAGUGGCAAAGGGUGAGUAAAACGGGGGUGAUCUGCCCUGUACUUUGGGAUAAGCCUGGGAAACCGGGGUUAAUACCGAAAAUGACAAAUGUUUGGAAGGGAUUGUGGAAAGCUUUUGCGGUAUGGGAUAAGCCCGCGGCCCUUCAGCUUGUUGGUGGGGUGAUGGCCUACCAAGGCGUCGACGGGUAGCCGGCCUGGGAGGGUGUACGGCCACAUUAGGACUGAGAUACGGUCCAGACUCCUACGGGAGGCAGCAGUGGGGAAUAUUGCACAAUGGGCGCAAGCCUGAUGCAGCGACGCCGCGUGGGGGAUGACGGCCUUCGGGUUGUAAACUCCUAUCGCAACCGACGAAGCCUUUUGGUGACGGUAGGUUGAGAAGAAGCACCGGCUAACUACGUG